UCUGUACACUGCAUGUUGUUCAGUCGAGCACAUUCCCCCCUACACCCGUGACUAGACUCGAACCAGCCGUUCUUUGAGAAACAAUGAUUAUGUACAAGCAUUCUACCAGAUACAACCUUCCCUGUAGCCUGUUCUCGGAAGCCUGCGGGAGACGACUCCACACUUUGCCCGCAGACUUAUGCAUUAGAUGUGCUAUGUGUUAAUUAAUAAACUGGAGGAUCCUGCUCGACAAGCCUUUGCUUCUUGGGACCCCCCAUCCACACUUCUUUAUUUAUUCAUGACAUAUUGUAAUGGACAGUUAUGUAGUAAACAAAGAAUGAAUGAAUGAAUGACACCCCCCCGAUCGCCAGUCACCUAAUCUCACUGAUGUCUGAGACAAUGGUGAUCCACGGGCAACCUGCUCCAUUUCUGGUCAUGCCCUGGUGAUGACACUGUUCAUCCCAGUUCAUAAAGUGGCUUGUGACUUGGCUGAAGACUGAAUGACUUGUGAUGGACUGAACUACCAAUGUGCAGCACUGAAAGUUCAAGCAGUAUUUCCAUCACCUGAUCCCAAAGCCAUGAAGGACAAGCGAAUGGGAAAAGUGGUAGCCUAUACGCCAGGCCUGAAGAAUGGAAAAGGACAUGUAUGAGCCAGUAGGGUAAAUGAUGGACAGUCUUUUGUUGUGAGGAGUACCAUCACAUCUUGGCUGAGAAGAUCUACAAGAUCCAGAAGGAGCUGCGGUAGAAGCCACAGAAGAGGAAGCAGGAGGUACUGAUGCUGCCGCUGGAGGCAUCCCCAUUAAUGCAGCAGCGCUGCUGCCCCAGCCUCAGCCUCCCCACUAACUGCCCAGACCAGUAUGUCCACUGGGAAAAUGUAGCUCUUUCAACCAAUGUAUAUUAGAAUUAUGCUGUACAUAACGAAAUGUAUAUGGUCUUGAAGCGUUAUUUUGAUGUCAGUGUUGCUUUGGCUCAGCAAUGAAAAGUGGACUGGUAGAAUGGGGCGUCAGGUUGGCAUAGUGAUACUUUUGUCACCUUCCACUUCUGUGAAUCCAGCCCAGGUUAUCAUGUGGAUUUUUCAGUCUUUACUUAACUUUGUGGGUUUUUCUCUAUAAUGUUCAUGUGGAGUUUUUCCUUCCACUUCUAAAACGGAACACUGUCCUCAUAUAUUUGCAGUUGUAAUUUGAAGUUGUAGAUCGUCAUAUUUCUCAAGUGGUUACUGGCAGCCCUUUGAAAAACAUGCUGGAGAUUAUAUUGAUACCAUCAAUAAAAAAAGCGGGAGUUUUUAUAAUUUUAUUGUUGUUGAAAUUACACAGGGGAAAUGGUAUUGUUUAUGGUAGCAGGGCCAGGUUUCCUUCAGUUUAGUUCUAAAUGUGGUCAAAAUACAGACUGAUCCUUUGUGGUUCACUCAACGAAGUCUGUACACAGGUUAACAUAAAUUUGGUGUGUGAUUUCUACUUACAGUUUUAUUUCAAUUCCAAACAUCAGUAACUUUUUAAGUUAUCACUGAAUAGUCAAGACCUUUUCUUUAUUUGUAGUUUUCUGAAGGCUUUUAUUUUACUUCAUAUUUGAACAGUGAUGUCAUCCAUUGAUCAUCGUGCAAUUUUAAUGACUGCAGAUGAAUUGACUCAGAGUGUGUACAAAAUGCAGAUGUAAAACAAAAAUUGUACGAUGUAAACAACAAAUAAAAGUGUAAUGCAAACGUGAAUUUUAUGUUUUGAAACACAUUUCAUAUCUCAGUAUGUGGAAUGAAGAUGUCAAUUGUACUCAUAGUCAGUAAAUGUAACUAACUCAAGCCUAAAAUUGUAUUUGUAAUAGGAGCUUCACUCAUUAGAUGCUUCUGGAAAAUGCCAGAAAUCUUUUUUUCCGCACACAACUGUUCUUUCUUAUUAUCUUGAUCAGGACUUGAACAUAGCUUUUGCCACAAAUAAAUUACAUUGCUAAUUUGAUAGACAAACUAACAGAUAUUUACAUGUAUGUACAUAGGGUCUACUGCUUGACAAAGAGAAAACAAAUGAAAUGGUUUGUUUUGUUUUUCAAGCACACACAAAGUCUGAGUCUGUGGAGGUACACUGUGUGUUGAAUUUGAACUUGGCAGCCGUGCAUAUAUGUCCCUGUUGUAGUAUGUACCACUCCAUGGGCAUGUCCCACAUUGUUGAAAAGUAUGAGGUUGUGGUAAGAAAUGUGUGACAAAUACUCUUCAAAUGACUGGUGUAAAUCACUAUGGUAAUUGGCUGUGUUGGUGGCCAUAUCUUACCUUUUUCAAGAGCCGAAACUUUUGGCCAAAAAUUAUACUCAACUGCAAGUGGACAAGAGGAAAGGGGUGGAAGAUUUGAGAAGUAAAUUGCUAUUCAUGUUUCUUCAUUUCUACUUGUUUGAUUUUUUUAAAUAAACAGACGAUUCACUAUCCGAUUUGCCAAACUUGGUCUUGAAAGUCAGCGAUUUGAGUCUUAAGAUGGCAACACCUUGCGAUUGAAGAAUAUAAUAGAAAGCUUAAGGCUUUAGUACUGAACAGGUCCAGUCUCCCUCAGGAAACUUCUAAGUGCCUUUAGUCUAUGCAUUUGUUAUUCCAAAAUGGUCCACCAAUCAAAAAUGGGCUUGUUUAUGUGUCAGGCUUAUGUGAAAUAAAUACAAGCCUUUUGCCUUUUAGACAUUUUGGAGAAAUAUGGGUUAGAGAGUACAGAUUUGAUCUUGUAUGGCCUGUUCCACUUCACCACAGGUCAAUACAUUUGAGACAAAUCUAGGCAAUCUCUGUGUACAAACGUUUCAAAAUGAUUUUGAAUUCUAGAUGAGUACUCCAUGUACUUUUUGUAAUUCCUGUAAUCAGUGUAAAAGUCGGAGGAUUUUAUUGAAUAAAAUAAAAUGUGUGGCCUGAGACAUUAAUAA
rnacentral:misc_RNA from 1 species